UACGUAGGGCGCAAGCGUUAUCCGGAAUUAUUGGGCGUAAAGCGCACGUAGGCGGCUUUGCAAGUCCCAUGUGAAAGCCCACGGCUUAACCGUGGAAGUGCAUGGGAAACUGCAGAGCUUGAGUACUUAAGAGGAUCGCGGAAUUCCCGGUGUAGAGGUGAAAUUCGUAGAUAUCGGGAGGAACACCAGUGGCGAAGGCGGCGAUCUGGGAAGAUACUGACGCUGAGGUGCGAAAGCGUGGGGAGCAAACAGG
rnacentral:rRNA from 1 species